rnacentral:rRNA from 1 species
UACAGAGGUCCCAAGCGUUGUUCGGAUUCACUGGGCGUAAAGGGUGCGUAGGCGGUCGGGUAAGUCUGAUGUGAAAUCUCACAGCUUAACUGUGAAACUGCAUUGGAUACUAUCGGUCUUGAAUACUUUGGAGGUAAGCGGAAUAUGUCAUGUAGCGGUGAAAUGCUUAGAUAUGACAUAGAACACCAAUUGCGAAGGCAGCUUACUACACAGUGAUUGACACUGAGGCACGAAAGCGUGGGGAUCAAACAGG